CACUCUUUCGAUUGGAAAUUGCCAUAUGGAGUUAAUGAACUUAACAUGGAUGAGACCUUUGGCCUUGCAUUGCAGAAGGCAGUGCCUCUUUCUGCCAUGGUUAGCCCUCGGCUGGCACCAACUGCGUAUGCUUCCUAAAAUGCUUCCAAGUCUAGGGGAUCGUUGUUCUAUGAAUAUUAUAUGCUAUUAUGUUUAUCUUAAUU
rnacentral:misc_RNA from 1 species